rnacentral:tRNA from 1 species
GCAGUGGUGGUUCAGAGGUAGAAUUCUCACCUUCGAUGCAGGCCCCAGGUUCGAUUCCUGGCCAAUGCA